CAGCAGCCACGGUAAUACGAAGGGGGCUAGCGUUGUUCGGAUUUGCUGGGCGUAAAGGGUGCGUAGGCGGACUGAUAAGUCAGGGGUGAAAUCCCAAGGCUCAACCUUGGAACUGCCUUUGAUACUGUUAGUCUUGAGUUCGAGAGAGGUGAGUGGAACUGCGAGUGUAGAGGUGAAAUUCGUAGAUAUUCGCAAGAACACCAGUGGCGAAGGCGGCUCACUGGCUCGAAACUGACGCUGAGGCACGAAAGCGUGGGGAGCAAACGGGAUUAGAUACCCGCGUAGUCCCUGUCUCUUAUCC
rnacentral:rRNA from 1 species